GGGGACGUAGCUCAGCUGGUAGAGCGCCUGCUUUGCAAGCAGGAUGUCAGGGGUUCGAGUCCCCUCGUCUCCA
rnacentral:tRNA from 1 species